UAGGGAAUCUUGGGCAAUGGGCGAAAGCCUGACCCAGCGAUGCCGCGUGUGCGAAGAAGGCCUUAGGGUUGUAAAGCACUUUCAGUCGUGAAGAAAAGCUUAAAGUUAAUAGCUUUGAGUCUUGACGUUAACGACACAAGAAGAUCCGGCUAACUCCGUGCCAGCAGCCGCGGUAAUACGGAGGGAUCGAACGUUAAUCGGAAUUACUGGGCGUAAAGCGCGCGUAGGCGGUUUGAUAAGUGGGAUGUGAAAGCCCCGGGCUUAACCUGGGAACUGCAUUCCAAACUGUCAGACUAGAGUAUGGUAGAGGGUGGUAGAAUUUCCUGUGUAGCGGUGAAAUGCGUAGAUAUAGGAAGGAAUACCGAUGGCGAAGGCAGCCACCUGGACCAAUACUGACGCUGAGGUGCGAAAGCGUGGGGAGCAAACA
rnacentral:rRNA from 1 species